rnacentral:rRNA from 1 species
CCCCCGCCGCGCCCCGCGCCCGUCCCGCCGCCCCCGCCCGCCUACGGGAGGCAGCAGUGGGGAAUUUUGGACAAUGGGCGCAAGCCUGAUCCAGCAAUGCCGCGUGCAGGAAGAAGGCCUUCGGGUUGUAAACUGCUUUUGUACGGAGCGAAAAGGCUCUCUCUAAUACAGGGGGCUCAUGACGGUACCGUAAGAAUAAGCACCGGCUAACUACCG